UACGUAGGUGGCGAGCGUUGUCCGGAUUUACUGGGCGUAAAGAGCGCGCAGGCGGUCGUACAAGUCGCGUGUGAAAGCCCCCGGCUCAACUGGGGAGGGUCACGCGAUACUGUUCGACUCGAAGGCAGGAGAGGGUAGUGGAAUUCCCGGUGUAGUGGUGAAAUGCGUAGAUAUCGGGAGGAACACCAGUGGCGAAGGCGACUACCUGGCCUGUUCUUGACGCUGAGGCGCGAAAGCUAGGGAGCAACGGG
rnacentral:rRNA from 1 species